rnacentral:rRNA from 1 species
GGCCAUACCACCUUGAAUGCACCCGAUCUCGUCUGAUCUCGGAAGAAAUAAGACAAAUGAUAAGAGAAUGGGAAACCUCACAUUAUCCUCUAGCC